rnacentral:rRNA from 1 species
UACAGAGGGGGCAAGCGUUGUUCGGAAUUAUUGGGCGUAAAGGGCUCGUAGGCGGUUUGUCGCGUCGGGAGUGAAAACUCAGGGCUUAACCCUGAGCCUGCUUCCGAUACGGGCAGACUAGAGGUAUGCAGGGGAGAACGGAAUUCCUGGUGUAGCGGUGAAAUGCGCAGAUAUCAGGAGGAACACCAAUGGCGAAGGCAGCUCGCUGGGACGGUACUGACGCUGAGGCGCGAAAGCGUGGGGAGCAAACAGG